rnacentral:lncRNA from 1 species
GGGGGGCUCAUGUUUACCUCUACACAUAGAUUCAUAUGGACGUAAUUGUCAAACAACAGUCAUUGGCAGUAGCGGAAUGGACGGGCGAGAUGCUCUUCUAGUUGGAACUAAGACGAACAGUUGCGUAUUGAAUAAAUUAAGCCUAAGGCAUGGUCUAUAUGAAUAUGUGGAUGAUAAGUUAUAAUUAAUCAAGCUCAGAAUUCAUACGCAUGUAAUCAAACAAGUGGACUUCCUUAUUUAAGUCCUAUAGGCAAGAUUUCUAAAUGACUCUUUUGGACUAUUUUUAGAUAGAUCAGUAGUUAUGUGACACUGGUUCUAGUUUAUAUGUCAUAUUGUCAUGAUCUCUAUGUGAAAUAUCAAGAGCACAGUUGGUAUUUUGAACAGUCGAAUCAGUUAAUAGAGUCCUAUAGGCAUGGUGCUAAGUGUUUUAAUUCUAACAUUAUCUCUAGGAGGAUAGACAAAUAUGCAAACAAGUUAACAAAGAGUUUUCCCUAUAGACAUGUCUUCUAGACAAGUUAUAAAUCAUAUUGGCAGCAUUGAAUUAACAGUUACUUAAGGUCAUAAAUCAUGAUUUCUAUGCGAAUAUGCAAACUUGAGGGUCCUAUAGGCAUGCUAUCUAUUAGCAGGCACUGCAAAUAGUUAGAACAUAGCAAACAUGUAGCAAGUACGAUAACUUAGACCCUAUAGGCAUGUUUUCUAUCCGUUUAUAUAAAAAUUAAAAUACACAACCCACCUUUUAACUAAAUUCCCUAUUAUUUGUUUUUACAAGUUAUUACGGGCUCAAAUAGAAAUAUUACAGGUUCAAUUACAAAUAAUAAUAACCAGUACCACAUCUCGGCCUUCAAGUAGGCUUAGAACUCCGUGUAGCAGGCGGGCCUAAACUCCAGGUGCUGUCAACAUACUUCAGACCCCAAUACCAAAAAUUGGCCCAACAGUCAUGCCUAAACAAUAGGAACAACUACUUUAUCUACCCAUUAUUAUUAACCACCAAAAGGAAUAUAAACAACACAAGUGACAGCCUAAACAAACCAAUUAUUCAAGUAACUUCCAAUUUUAGGUGGAAAUAUGCACAUCUUGUCCUUAAUGUUUCAACUAGCGAGAAUUUCUAAAUAACACCCCAAAGACACGUGAACAGGAACAUAUUUUGGAGAGCCUCAUAAGGAUUCUUCCAGGAAUAUAUGAAGGACAUGCAAAAUACAUAGGUCAAAUAAAAUAAACACAUAAGAUGGUUCACAACCAAUUCUGAGAGGAUGGUAAAUGACAGUUCAUGUGUACCAAUUUAUCAUGAGAGCCUAAGAUGAAACAUAGCUGGUAACGUAUUCAAGUAGAAGUUCUCACAUUAAUGACCUGACAUGAAACAUACAGUGACACAUGAUCAAGAACUAACUAUAAAAGAAUAGCAAUUCUGAUAGGGACAACCUAGCAUGAGAAUUUAAAGCAAGACAUGAUCCAGGACUAACUCUGAGAAAAUACCCAAAUAGAAGCUUUUACAAGAGAGAUUUUGUCGUGAAAAAGAACUGAAUUCAAAGCAUGGUCAAAAAGUAAUUUAGAGAAAUCAGCAGAUAGUAGUUCAUACAUGAAGAACUUAGCAUGAAACUCUUAAAGUAAAAUAUUUUCGAAACAAAUUCUGCGCAGAUAUUGAUCUUCACAAGAAGGUUUUAACAUAGAAAUCUAAAGCAAUGCAUGAAUAUGAACUCAUAACAGACAGAAAAAUACAAAGUCAGAGACAACAUAAGCAUAAUAAAUCAGGCAAAAACUAAGAAGGUCAGACAUCAUUCAAGUCAACUACACAUAAUGAGAAUAAACUAUAUGUUUUGAAGCCUAUCUUAAGGUCUUGGACUUAGGCAAAUUGAUAUUAGUGAGCAACGAAACUGCAGAACAUCACUUGAACCAUGAAACUACAGUGAAACAUGCAACGACAGUACAACACUAGAAAUUCACAAGUAGCAGAGAAACUGAGUCAUGUUUUCUUCAUGAAGGCUCAAACAAUAUUGACACAUAGAAUUCACAUAGAUAUGAUCAUAUUUAAGGGAAGUAUUUCAAAUUUAAGAGUCGAGAAUACUAACCAGUUGCAAGAUAAACGGGCAAAGAGUGAGAAAAUUUAGAGUUUCAGCGAUGGCUCAAACAACAGUGAUUGAAGGAGAAUAAUGAGAAUCUCAAAUCUCCUGGGCUUUAGAGUUCACAAAAGCCUCAAAAGGGGCUCCGAGCAGUGGUUGCACUGAAGGAGGUCAUUAGCAGCACCACAAUGCCCUUGGCUUUCAUCCGGCCACUGACUAAUUGAAUUCAAUAAUUUUAGAACAAAAUAGACCAAGUGCGAGUGAGAGAGAGUGAUUAAGGAUUGCCCUAAGGGGAAAUUUAGGCGGGUUUAUAUAACAUCCAAUUAAACAAAUAAUAAGAUAAAGAAAUUAGUCAUUCACAAAUAAGGAAAAGAAAAUCGCCUGCAACCAGUGACAGAGUCGGUAAAGGAAAUAGGUCGAUACCAAACCCUAGUUAGGGUCCAACGACUGUAAAUCAAAAUAGGGAUGCAAGAAUAUUCCCUUGUUGAAUUUAUAUAUAUGGAAUAUCAUCUGAAUCUUCAAAAAAUCAAAGUCAAUCGGCUUGAUUCUGAGAGACAAUACUUGCCAAAAUCAGGUAAGUACUAAGUAAUUUCUUGGUCGUGCAAAUAAUAACAGAGUAGCACAUAUAAUGUAACUAAAUCAUAGAGGGAUUCCAUGGUGUGGCUGGAUUUGGAGAGGACUUAGGGUUAGGUGGCUAGAGUUUCAUAGAAUAGAGGAGAGGAGUUGAGAGCGUGUAGAGGGG